rnacentral:rRNA from 1 species
AUGGCGGAGGAAUCGUGGAGCAACUCCCCUCCGUCUGCCAAGAGAAUGGCGGAGGCAUCGUGGAGCAACUCCCCUCCGUCUGCCAAGCAUCACCAAGGUGAGGCGUCUGGCAAGGAGCCGCUGGUGGUCGACGACGAUGUUCCGGUCCCCCGGCAGAAGCAGGACUACACCGUGCCGCUCAUGGUUGAUAUCCACCUGAAGAAGGAGAAGCUGGAUGUCGUAUGCACCAGCAAUCCAGACGAAGCCGACAAGAGGAUCCGCGAGAUCAGGAGGAGGCUCGGCGGCAUGCUUUCUCGGUCGAUCGCCGUUGAUGUCGAGUAUACGAGGGAAGAUGAACCUCCACAAAAGGCUGCAGUUCUACAGUUAUGCGUGGAGGAUCUCGUCCUGGAGAAGAAGCUAUACACCUUUGUUGGCUUCUCCAUUGGAGGUGACAAGGAGAAGCUGAAAUUGUCUGGUUUGGAGAUCAACCCUGACAAGUACGUCGACAUGCAGCCAAGAAUUUUCCAGAAAAGUGGAUUGGUGGCACAAAAUUGCUACACUCAGUCGAUCUACCUAGCAUUAUCAGCAUGGAUACCAUUGAGACGUCAACAGAAACUGGGGUACCUGCGCUGUCCUGCGGUGGUUGAGGAGAUGGAUCCGGCCGAUCCCGUUGGGGGGCACGGGGGCGGCGGGGGUGGAGUCGCCGACGGCGUGCAGGGGUGGCGGACAGAGGGGGACGAGUGGGGGAUCUGGCGAUGGAGGGAGGGAGGCCACAGCGCGAGGGGAAUAGGUGGAGUGGGGGGAGGGUUCUAA